rnacentral:misc_RNA from 1 species
AUGCACGGCACGGGCGACGGUU